rnacentral:lncRNA from 1 species
UUCAUUUUAUUAAUUAUACUUUAUUCUUUUUAUUGUCUUGAAAUAGAAUUCUUGUUUUACGAAAAAGGUACAUGUAAUUAUGACUUAGUAGUUAUCAUUUUCAAGAAAUUUGAAACUUUAUUUAAUGUGCAAUAACAUUUAAUUUUCUUUAAAAAAGAGUGUAACACACAUUUAAAUAGUGCAACAUUCUCUUAUAAUAGUGCAAUAUUUACACAAAUUGUGUAAAUAUCUGUACAAAUAAUGUAAUAUAUGCACCGUUUAUGCAAAUAUUAUAUUAUUUUUAUACUAUAUUGUAAUAUAUUAUAUUAUUUUCACGUAAUAUACUAAUCUGUACGUAAUUCAGUGUAAAAGUCAUGCAAAAUGUAUAUUAACA